UACGUAGGUGGCGAGCGUUGUCCGGAAUUACUGGGUGUAAAGCGCGCGUAGGCGGGAGGCCAAGUCCGCUGUGAAAUCGCCCGGCUCAACUGGGCGCGGUCGGUGGAAACUGGUCACCUGGAGGACGGUAGAGGCGAGUGGAAUUCCCGGUGGAGCGGUGAAAUGCGUAGAGAUUGGGAGGAACACCAAAGGCGAAAGCACUCUGCUGGGCCGCAACUGACACUGAGAGACGAAAGCGAGGGGAGCAAAUGGG
rnacentral:rRNA from 1 species